rnacentral:tRNA from 1 species
GUCCUCGUGGUGAAAUUGGAUAUCACUUAGGGCUUCGGACCCUAAGUUGCGGGUUCGAGUCCCGCCGAGGACA